ACAACGUCAGCGUCCCACAAGUCCGUUCUGCGUUUAAGAGCCAUUCAUUUACAAAGAGCGACACAGCGGCAGCACAGCCAACAUGUCAGACAAGAAACAGACCGUGGACCUGGGUUUACUGGAGGAGGAUGAUGAGUUUGAAGAAUUCCCAGCUGAGGAUUGGACGGGGCUGGAUGAAGAUGAAGAUGCUCAUGUUUGGGAAGACAACUGGGACGAUGACAACGUAGAAGAUGAUUUCUCAAAUCAACUCAGAGCUGAGCUGGAAAAACAUGGUUACAAGAUGGAGACGUCAUAACGGCUGACGGGGCCCUUCAGUAAUCGAUGACAUUGGAUAUGGACAUUUCUAUUUGAAUAUUAUUGGUUGACCACAGAGCACCAGAGGAGGAGAUUUGAUGAUGUUAAUGUGUUUCUUUUUUUGUAAUAAAUAUUGAUAGAAGUAAAGUGUUUGGAGAAAA